GGAGCCCGGGCGCUGCGAGUUCUCGCGAGGAAGGCCGACAACUCGUCCGACGUGGCCAGAGGCUGGACGGGACCCAAGGGAGCGAGGGAAGGAGGAGCGCCGGGAACAGGAAGAUGUUACAACAUGGACAUCCCAGCCUGGAGAAUAUGAACUAUUGUGUUUGCAUCUCUGCUCCAUCUCCUCCCAGAAGUAACGCUGUCCUAGAUAUUAUCCCUUUUGCUUUUCGUCCUUGUGGUGGCCAGCUUCUCAACUGGCUCCCAAUGAUCCUUGCCUACUGGUGAUAUUCACACCCAUGUGUUCCUCUCCCCUUGAAUGUGUACUGGACCUAGUAACUUCUAACAAACAGAAAAUGACAGAUGUGAUGGUUGUCGCUUCAUGAUUGCAUUAGAUGAGGUUGUAACUUCCACCUUGCCAACUCUUUCUUGCUGGCUUUGAUGAAGUAAGCUGCCAUCGUGGAGAUGGCCACAUAGCCAGGACAUGAGGACAGCCACUGUCAACAACCAACAAGAAACUGAAACCCUCAGGACGCACAGGAGCUGAAUUCUGUUAAUAACCAAGUGAACCUGAAAGUGGAUUCUUCCUCAGUCAAGCUGUGGUCUCAGACCACAGCUCUGAGACCAAGGAACAUCUGUAGCUUUUUGAGAAGUGUAUACAGUCAUGCCUGGACACUUGGCCCACAGGAAGUAUGAAAUAAUGUGUGCUGUUUUAAGUCACAAAUGCAGAAGUCACUGUGACCCUCUGCAAAGAGUAAAUACUUCAUGGAAGUAAAAACAGCUGGUUUAUGGAGCUCACCCCGUCCAUAAGCACAUUAUGCAGACCUGUGAUUUCCUGUCAAACUGAAACUGAUGUGUCUACUUGAAAAUGAGGAAACAGGAGAAUUUUCCUUGUCAGAGAAAGAAAACAACGCAGAAAGUUACACAGUAAUAGGACCUGGGCCACACCGCAAAGAGGUCAAGCCCCGACUCUCAUUACUGCCACCCAACUCUGCACCUUCCCUGCGCACCCUCACCUGCACUGUCUCCUGUGAAGCCAGCAGCUCCUGUUCCUUUUCAGCAAUCUGGAGGACGAAACUUGGAUCGCCCUGCAGAGCCUGGCUGUAUCUUGGAGGAUGGGGAGCUGGCAGCCGCACACCCCUGGUGUGGGAAGCAACUUAGCAGAGGCCUGACUUCGGCCCCACCCUCAUCCUUCCUAUGUUCACUGUUAGGUGUUUUCUCCUUCCCCUCCCCCCCUUACUUCCUCUGGUCCCAGACUUUCCAGACACAACCUGUCCCCACCCUCUCCUCUCAGUUCUUUGUAGGGAGAUCGCCUGACCUGAUGAGGUUAAGAACUCCCAGCUUCCUUACCUGAGCUGCCCCCCUUCCUUGGGGUCCAGAACACCUUCCCCUGCGACCUUCUGGGACAACCCUGAGCAAGGAAAGUGGAGGAAUAACAAUAUUGGAGCCCUAUUUUCCUGUCUUUCCUUCCUACUCCCCAACCACCCACAUAGAAAGGAAGGACAAGAGGAAGGUUUCUCCAGGAGGAAGCGAAAGUAAAGGCCACUUUACCCACAUCCAUGUAGCCAGUGCCAUCCUGGGGAGCCAACUCCUGAAAGAACCCCAGGGACCCACUGUGAGUUAGGACUUGCCAUCCUCAAGGAGCCCCAUGUCCCUUCUGUGGUCCCCCAGGUCAGGCUCCCUUCUCCCAUACUUAUUGCCAAGGACUUUCUACCGCAUGGGAAGCUCCCCUGGGCAGUGGGAGAAGCCUGAGGCGGGGGCACCUGUAGUGAGCCUGUGCCCUGCUUCCUGCGUCUCUGCUGCCGCUCCUCCAGGCGCUGCCUCAGAGGAAUGAGCACCAGCUCCACCACGCCCGGGGCACACUGAGCAAUCUUGCGCAUCACGUCCUCUGGUACUGAGAAGUUCAGCUUGUUCAACACCUUCCUGGGGAG